GACCCUAUAGAGUUUUAUAUUUUAUAGAAUUUAUUUUUUUUAGAAUUUAUAAAUUGAAUUUUAUUAAAUAUUUGGUUGGGGUGAUUGAAAAAUUAAAAAAACUUUUUUUAUAUUAAGUCAUUUAUUUAUGAAUAUUUGAUCCAUUAUUAGUGAUUAUAAGAUUAAAUUACCUUAGGGAUAACAGCGUAAUUUUUUUUGAGAGUUCAAAUCGAAAAAAAAGAUUGCGACCUCGAUGUUGGAUUAAAAUAAAUAUUUGGGGUAAAAGCUAAAUUAAUUGGGUCUGUUCGACCUUUAAAAUUUUACAUGAUCUG
rnacentral:rRNA from 1 species